GCUGUAUAAUCCUUCACAUGGGUCAUGAUCCUUUGUCAGCCCAUUCCUGUGUAAUGAUGGAUGUGGGUGGGCGGGAAUGACUUCCCAAUAUAAUUUCUAUCCAUUUCAUUUUCUUUGCAGAGGGAAGAGACAAGCCCCUCCCAUUCGCUUCUACUGGGGCUUGUUAAGCCAUCGCCUUGGGGGCUGGCUGAUCAGCGGCAGCCAGCAGCCAGCGGCUUCGGCAGGCAGGAGAAAGGACAGCCUGUGGCUACUGCAGCCCCACUGCCCGGCCACACUUCAUGACGGGAGAGUGCCUUGGGAGGAAUGUAAAGGCAAACCGUGAAGGAAACUGGCAAAUGCAUGAAGUCAGUCUCCAUGGUGCGCUUCCACUCCAGGGACUGUACGAGAGGAAAAAAAGGUGCUUCAUAUCCCAACCAAAAGUAUUCUCUGUCUGAGGAUCAUUGCCCAAGUAUGAAGUAGGAGACUUGUGCAAUUCAAAGGCACCCAUGCGAUGCUCGUGCGAAGCUCUUUUCUCAGCCAGACACGACAGGUAUGGAGCCGGCCCUGGGAAGUGGGAUCUAGAAUGACAACCCCUGGCACAGGGCUAAGGAGCUUUAGGAGUCGUGAAAUCUCAUUGUAUCACUGCAAACAGAAGCUGCAUCCCUGCAUGGGAAGCAUUAGGUCACCUCCCAGGCAGGAGCAAACAUUUGGUGGGAAGGACUAGGAGGUUGGCUGCUUGCUCUUCUCUUUCAGCAGUGACAUCUCCACCGUGCUUGUCCCACGUCUCCAGAAAGGUGGUUCCAGGUACAAAAGCUCAAGUGGACUGGAGGCUCCCAAAGCUUCUCCCCGUGCCAUCUCCCCACUGGCUGCUGGGUCCAGUGGUGGCCGCCCCUUGGGUACUAGGAACUCCUAGUUCUACAAUGAGAAGCUGCAAGGACUCCCAGAGGCCCAUGGACUGGAGCUGUUAAUGUCCUGCAGAUGGGAGCCACUCUCUCGCUGUGAUCACCAAGGUACCCAGGGCCUCCGGAGGCCACAAAGAAUGGAUAAUUGCAACCCACAGGCCUCCUUCAGAUUUCCUCCAAGCCCUUCUGGUCAGCAAAUACUCUAUGGCAAGUCUGGGGUUUGGUCUUUACUUCUGGUGCCAAUUAACUUCAUCUUCCUUUUCUCUUUGGUCCGUGGAAUUACUCUGCACUCUUUGCAAUGAUGUUUAGUAAUUCUUAUCGACUAUGGAGCAGCCUCCUGGGACCCUGCCAGCUGAUCUUAAAAAGCCACUUACUGCAGGAUUCCCACUGCUUUCCUGGGCCAGGAAUUCCUUAACCAAAGGCAAGUUUCACAGGAGAUCCUUGAGAAGGUGCCUCAUUAUUAAUAUUUUUGUGUUGAAAAUGUUCACUGUGGAAGUUGCUUACAAGGUGGGCCAGUGUGUUUGGGAAGAACAGGGUGGGCCUCGAGCAAACUGGGGGGCGGGGUGGGAUUCAGACUCUACUCCCUCCACCUUUGUCCUUCCCUCUUCUUCUUCUUGCUCACCUUCGGAACCCCCGGGCCCCCUUCCUGGCUGCAGCCCCUCGGGUCUUCUUCAUGCGUUGACACUGAAAGCUCUCUUGUGCUAAUUGCUGACUAGGCAUGAAUGCAUGGCAAUUGUUGGCUUGUUUCCUCUCCUGGGUCACUUUUUCCUCCUUUCAUAUUGGGUAGAGCCUUUCAUGUCUUAACAAGAGGGAGCCGGUCACAUGAGGUUUUGGGUGCACCAGUUGGGUGGGUUCUGAACUUCUGGCCCCCUUCCAAGUCUCAAAGUCUAGUUGACCAAGUGUGUUGGGCCAAGCUGUGCCUGGCUCUGGAACUGCCUCCAAGGAGGGGCAUCAGGCUGUGUGGUGGAGACAGUGACCCCUCCAGCCCCUGCUGCUCCAGCUGCAGCUGCAGAGUGUACAAGGGGAGAGUCUCUGGGGGUCACGGGGCUCCAUGGGUAUAUUCAGAAAGAUGAAGCACCCUGUGUGAUGCACCUGCACCUAGGCUGAUGGGGACACCUGCAAGGACAGACUGGGGCAUUAAAUAGGUGGAGAGAGCUUUGCUUUAGAAAACACACACUGAGAAAGUGCAAUUUGCCAUCAGGCAGGCUAAGGGGUGUUCCACUUACUACACUUGGAGUCUUUCACCCAAGAACUGAUGAAACAGUUCAGGAACAAAACCAGCCAGAUACGUUAAGAAGAAUGAUGCUUACCAACAUAGUAUGGGGUUUGAUGUUGACAACGAUUCACUGAUGUCUUCCCAGAUUCCCUAGAUGUAGGGGCAGAACUACCAGGGGAGAGACCAUGCUUCUUUGGAGAGAUUGAAUGGUACUCUCUAGGUCUGGAGCAGCACUGUCCAGGGAACAUCACACUGGGAAUGUUCUUCCUCUGUGCUGUCCAAGAUGGUAGCUGAGCAUGCAGUGUGGUUAUUGCAACAGAAGAACUGAAUGUUGAUUUCAUUUACUUUUAAUUAAUUUAAAUUUAAAUCUGAAUGCCCGCGUGUGGCUAGUGGCUACGUGGUGGACAGUGCUGUCUAGACCAGUGUGCAGAGGUCAUAGUGGAGGAGGAGCAUUGGAGGAAAAUGGAGAGGUGACCCUGGAGAGGUGGUGGGAACAGAUCGAGAGGACCUUGUAAGGUGUGUGAGCAAUUCGAGACUUGUCCCUGGGGAUGACAGGAAGCCACUGAAAGGUCUAAGCAGAUGAAUGAGUACUCAGAUUGAUAGCUUAAAAGACUUGGCUGGGUGCGGUGGCUCAUGCCUGUAAUCCCAGCACUUUGGGAGGCCGAGGCGU